UGAGCGGUGGUGUUCAGAGUCCCCUACCAAU
rnacentral:piRNA from 1 species